GAUGAACGCUGGCGGCGUGCCUAAUACAUGCAAGUCGAGCGAACAGACGAGGAGCUUGCUCCUCUGACGUUAGCGGCGGACGGGUGAGUAACACGUGGAUAACCUACCUAUAAGACUGGGAUAACUUCGGGAAACCGGAGCUAAUACCGGAUAAUAUAUUGAACCGCAUGGUUCAAUAGUGAAAGACGGUUUUGCUGUCACUUAUAGAUGGAUCCGCGCCGCAUUAGCUAGUUGGUAAGGUAACGGCUUACCAAGGCAACGAUGCGUAGCCGACCUGAGAGGGUGAUCGGGCACACUGGAACUGAGACACGGUCCAGACUCCUACGGGAGGCAGCAGUAGGGAAACUUCCGCAAAGGGCGAAAGCUUGACGGAGCAACGCCGCGUGAGUGAUGAAGGUCUUCGGAUCGUAAAACUCUGUUAUUAGGGAAGAACAAAUGUGUAAGUAACUAUGCACGUCUUGACGGUACCUAAUCAGAAAGCCACGGCUAACUACGUG
rnacentral:rRNA from 1 species